CCUACGGGUGGCAGCAGUGGGGAAUAUUGCACAAUGGGGGGAACCCUGAUGCAGCAACGCCGCGUGGGUGAAGAAGUACUUCGGUAUGUACAGCCCUGUCAGCAGGGAAGAAAAUGACGGUACCUGACCAAGAAGCCCCGGCUAACUACGUGCCAGCAGCCGCGGUAAUACGUAGGGGGCAAGCGUUAUCCGGAUUUACUGGGUGGAAAGGGAGCGUAGACGGCAAGGCAAGUCUGGAGUGAAAGCCCGUGGCUCAACCACGGGACUGCUUUGGAAACUGUGUGGCUGGAGUGCAGGAGGGGUACGCGGAAUUCCUAGUGUAGCGGUGAAAUGCGUAGAUAUUAGGAGGAACACCGGUGGCGAAGGCGGCUUACUGGACUGUAACUGACGUUGAGGCUCGAAGGCGUGUGGAGCAAACAGGAUUAGAUACCCUUGUAGUC
rnacentral:rRNA from 1 species